GAUGAACGCUGGCGGCGUGCCUAAUACAUGCAAGUCGAGCGAACAGACGAGGAGCUUGCUCCUCUGACGUUAGCGGCGGACGGGUGAGUAACACGUGGAUAACCUACCUAUAAGACUGGGAUAACUUCGGAAAACCGGUGCUAAUACCGGAUAAUAUAUUGAACCGCAUGGUUCAAUAGUGAAAGACGGUUUUGCUGUCACUUAUAGAUGGAUCCGCGCCGCAUUAGCUAGUUGGUAAGGUAACGGCUUACCAAGGCAACGAUGCGUAGCCGACCUGAGAGGGUGAUCGGCCACACUGGAACUGAGACACGGUCCAGACUCCUACGGGAGGCAGCAGUAGGGAAUCUUCCGCAAUGGGCGAAAGCCUGACGGAGCAACGCCGCGUGAGUGAUGAAGGUCUUCGGAUCGUAAAACUCUGUUAUUAGGGAAGAACAAAUGUGUAAGUAACUAUGCACGUCUUGACGGUACCUAAUCAGAAAGCCACGGCUAACUACGUG
rnacentral:rRNA from 1 species